AAGCAAUAGCAUUACUAAUGCACAUCGGUUUCGGCCCGGUAAGAGCGAUCAAACGCAUUGUUUU
rnacentral:tRNA from 1 species